CUUGAAAUGGGCUGAGUCCCUCUUGCUCACCCUUGACUUGGAAAAACCAGUUUCUCUUUUAUUGUCUGUUACUAAUCUCUAUUCUAAAAAUUCAGCUCAAUUCUCAACCAUACUCCAAACUCUCUCUUUUCCAGCUACCUUUACUCCCUCUCCUUCAAUUCCACUUUCCUCUGCUUACUUUUUUUUUUUUUCUGACAGGGUCUCACUUUGUCGCCCGGGCAGGAGUGCAGUGGCUCAAUCUUGGGCUCACUGCAGCCUCAACCUCCCAGGUUCAAGCGAUUCUCCUGCCUCAGCCCCUCAAGUAGCUGGGACUACAAGCGCACACCACCACGCCUGACUAAUUUUUUGUAUUUUUUUGUAGAGGCGGGGUUUCACCAUGUUGCCCAGACUGGUCUUGAACUCCUGAGCUUAAGCAAUCCACCUGCCUCGGCCUCCCAAAGUGUUGGGAUCACAGGCGUGAGCCACCGCAUCCGGCCUCAUGUUCUUUUUCAUUAAAGAGAGAAAUCAACUAUUCAGGACCGGCCCCCACCUUUCCUCAGGAGUCAUUUCUGUUCCGCACAGGCCUGCUGAACUGGGUGCUUUAUAUAGGGUAAGUGUUUCUCAUUUUUUGUUCCCUGUCCUCAAGCCUUAGGGGCAAAAGAAACAUCCAAGAUUUGAAAUUUCUUUUCUUCUUCUCAUCUGCAUGGCUGUAGCCAUCUCUCUGUUCUGCAUUAUCUUAUGACAAAAAAAAAAAAUUCUUAUUUUGAAGCAAACUCAAAGCUAGGUCCUGAUGUCUCAAGGCACAGGUACUCGUACUUAAAGACACUGUCAUCUCUCAAGUACCCAUCUUGGAGGGUACGGACCCCACAUGAGGGUGAGGCUCUCUGCACACUCCAGAGUGAGGACUUUAAUAAUCUAGUGGACUGUACAUGUUGGGAGGGGAAGAGCGGGGUGCCGAGGGUCUGGAGGGAGAAGAAUUGACUGCCCCUUUUGCUCUUGGAGUUAAGCAGAAAUCUAAAGAGAAGGCAAAGAAUCUUGCCUUCCUGGCAUCAUUUCCUCCUACCAUCCCAGGCCAUCAUUUAUUUAUUACAGCCAACAGACUGGCCUCUUUCUUCCCUUUGACUGGGAAUGGGUCAAAGGCGGUGCAGGAGGAGGAUCUGGUCCAGAUAAUUCACAAGCAGGGUGCAUUUUCCUCUCAUUAUUGAGAACUGUGAGUGUUUAUCAAGAAGGCAGAGCAGGAGAAGAUGAACCAGUCUUCUUCCCCUCACUACCCAGAUCUCUGCCUGCCAACAAGCCCCGUGUUCACCCUGGCAAAGAGUCUUUACAUUCAGACCAAGGAGAGUGUGACUCCUUCUCAGCACUAGCUAGAAACCUCAAGCCCUUGCUUAAGGGCCUUUUUCAGAGAGACCCAAUGCCCAGAAGGCUAGAUGCGUGGGGAGGAGCCACAUACGAGAAACUGCCUCCCUGCUUCGGGUCAGAACAAGCCCCAGGAAGAAAGUAUUUCAAACAACAAGGUGCAUCUGCCCCAACCCAUCCAGCCUGCAUGUUGGUGCUGAGAACAGCCUUUUAUGGGGCUUGCACUGAGCCAUGGGCAUGUCUGAACACAACAAGGAAGAGGCCAGAGCAGCAACAGCACGCAAAGGGUUGAUGGGCAUUUCUUUUAAGACAGAGCAGAAAACUCUUA
rnacentral:lncRNA from 10 species